rnacentral:tRNA from 1 species
GGAAAGUUGGCUGAGAGGUCAAAAGCAGCAAAUUGCUAAUUUGUUUUAUAAAAAUAUUUUAUAUCAAGGGUUCAAAUCCCUUUCUUUCCA